rnacentral:rRNA from 1 species
CCUACGGGAGGCAGCAGUGAGGAAUAUUGGUCAAUGGGCGCGAGCCUGAACCAGCCAAGUCGCGUGAAGGAUGACUGCCCUCCGGGUUGUAAACUUCUUUUAUACAGGAAUAAAGUGAGGCACGUGUGCCUUUUUGUAUGUACUUUAUGAAUCAGGCUCGGCUAACCCCGUGCCAGCAGCCGCGGUAAUAUGGAGGAUCCGAGCGUUAUCCGGAUUUAUUGGGUUUAAAGGGAGCGUAGAUGGGUUUUUAAGUCAGUUGUGAAAGUUUGCGGAUCAACCGUAAAAUUGCAAUUGAUACUGGCAGCCUGGAGUGCAGUAGAGGUAGGCGGAAUUCGAGGGGUAGCGGUGAAAUGCUUAGAGAUCAGGAAGAACUCCGAUUGCGAAGGCAGCCUACUAAACUGCCACUGACAUUGAUGCUCGAAAGUGUGGGUAGCAAACAGGAUUAGAUACCCGAGUAGUC